rnacentral:rRNA from 1 species
UACGUAGGUGGCAAGCGUUGUCCGGAUUUAUUGGGUUUAAAGGGUGCGUAGGUGGCCCUGUAAGUCAGUGGUGAAAUAUCUCAGCUUAACUGAGAGGGUGCCAUUGAUACUGCAGGGCUUGGGUACAGAUGAGGUAGGCGGAAUUGACGGUGUAGCGGUGAAAUGCAUAGAUAUCGUCAAGAACACCGAUAGCGAAGGCAGCUUACCAAGCUGUAACUGACACUGAGGCACGAAAGUGUGGGGAUCAAACAGG